rnacentral:lncRNA from 1 species
AAAGGUGUCAGCAUCGAGUAGGAUGCAGAUGUCCAUCACCCACAUGUGGCGAAAAGAAGAGAGAGCGCCAGACCGCAUCUAUGCCCCAUCUCCAGAUCUCUUUGCACGCAUCUAGCUACACUGAAGCCUGGUGCGUGCCAAAGGUUUCCUUUAGUCAGGAGAAACAAAGAAUAUGGAAGAAAAAUAGAUCUGUCGUUUUAGAAUUCAUAAUGGAAAGGGGACCUGGAACGGAUUGUGGGUAAAGGGAUAUGGUUGAUUGGAAAGCGGGAAUAGGUAAUUUUUGGUAAUUUUGGAGUAGAUCUGCAGCAGGUAAUCAAUAGUGUGGGCGGGUCUAGUUGUUGAUAACAGACGUGGGGGGGGGGGAGAGAGAGAGAGAGACAGAGAGAGAGAGAGAGAGACAGAGAGACAGAGAGAGAGAGAGAGAGAGAGAGAGAGAGAGAGAGAGAGAGAGAGAGAGAGAGAGAGAGAGAGAGAGAGAGAGAGAGAGAGAACAGCUGCUCUCUAGAUAUGAAAGCCUAAGAAAUAGGAAAAUAUUCUGAGCAGGAGGCAGCCCCUGGGGGAGAAAGAGAAAGGGAGGAGGGCACGUAAGUGGCCGCGCACUCCACACUCUCUCUCGCUCCGACCAACAGGAGGAGAGGCUGCGCAGGGGGUGUGUGUAUGAGGCGGAGGGAGGGCGAUAGUAGGGGCGGGGAGAAGUCGGGCGCCGGGGCUCCUCCGGCUUCCCUCGGCUGCCUCUCUGUCUCCUUUUCCCGGAGGGAGCGAGGCGUGUUUCCUACUAGCGAGGAGAAACGCACCCUGGAAGGAAAAAAAAAAAGCAAUCACACCCCCCAAAACCAGGUUGGGAGACUUGGA